CUAGUUAGCUGAUGUGAAUUCCAAGCUACGAACUAAGCGUGGAAUACAAGUAAUAGGAGAUAAGUUUACUGGAGUAGGAUAUAUUAAAGAGCAUGGAAAUAAGGUUACAAAUCUGAAUACACCAGCGAACAUCAAGAAAGUGAUGGAAAGGAAAGAUAAUGGAAAACAGAAGUAUAAGAAAAGGAAUAGAAAGAAGCAUAUGAAAAGGAAAGGAAAUACAAGAAACGAAGAAAAAACGACAUUUUAUUAUGAAAAUAAAAUCAUGGAUGACGCCUUCAUUUUGACUUCACGUUCAACAUGUACAGAUGACCGACAAUCAGGGAUGGGACUGCUCUACUAAAUUCGUACCGGCCUGGCCUUAUUGCCGUACUGCAAUAUGGAUCAAGUCCGCUCCAUGAUUGGCUAAACCAUUUUUUAUUGAAAGUACAUUUAAAAAGUGAUUUACGCCCAGCUUGAUAUGUGAAAAACAUUACUGAUACUUACUAAAAGAGUAAAACCAUGAUAUUAUUCCUUUUUACAUUGUACAAACAUCAAAAUAUAAUUUUUCAUAACAAUUUUGAGAAAUAUCGUUUUUGAUUGGACACACUUUAAAACU